UGGGGAAUAUUGGGCAAUGGGCGAAAGCCUUACCCAGCAACGCCGCGUGAGGGAAGAAGGUUUUCGGAUUGUAAACCUCUGUCCUGGGGGACGAAGGAAGUGACGGUACCCCGGGAGGAAGCCCCGGCUAACUACGUGCCAGCAGCCGCGGUAAUACGUAGGGGGCGAGCGUUGUCCGGAAUUAUUGGGCGUAAAGGGCGCGUAGACGGCCGAGUAAGUUAUAGGUGAAAGCCCAUCUUUCAAGGAUGGAAUUGCCUGUAAUACUGCUUGGCUUGAGUGCAGGAGAGGGAAGCGGAAUUCCUAGUGUAGCGGUGAAAUGCGUAGAUAUUAGGAGGAACACCAGUGGCGAAGGCGGCUUUCUGGACUGUAACUGACGUUGAGGCGCGAAAGCGUGGGGAGCAGACAGGAUUAGAUACC
rnacentral:rRNA from 1 species